rnacentral:rRNA from 1 species
UACGUAGGGGGCAAGCGUUAUCCGGAUUUACUGGGUGUAAAGGGGGCGCAGACGGCAGCGCAAGCCAGGAGUGAAAGCCCGGGGCCCAACCCCGGGACUGCUCUUGGAACUGCGCGGCUGGAGUGCAGGAGGGGCAGGCGGAAUUCCUGGUGUAGCGGUGAAAUGCGUAGAUAUAUGGAAGAACACCAGUGGCGAAAGCGGCUCUCUGGUCUGUAACUGACGCUGAGGUUCGAAAGCGUGGGUAGCAAACAGG